GGCCGGGUAGCCAAGUGGUAAGGCAGGGGACUGCAAAUCCCUUAUACGUGGGUUCGAUUCCCACCCCGGCCUUUA
rnacentral:tRNA from 1 species